AACUCUGCUGAAGGAACUUCACUGAUAAGUAAGCAGAGAAUCAAUUUAGUCUUAGAUAGAAAACCUCUCUAUGAAUAAGGGAAAAUAAAGUCAAAGGAAAUGAAGCAAAUAAAGGAAGAAAAAAAAUACUGAUGACCAGAAAAGAGCAAUAUAUUUACAAUGCUGAAUCUGUACCAUCCUGGUCUCAAAAGCGCGACUGCUGGACUACAGGUACCACAGAAUCUUUAACAGACUCACGGACUGAAAACUAUUGGGAUAAACUCAACUGGGAAGAGUACUCCCGUCAUGGACCCUCAGAUGAAC